rnacentral:lncRNA from 1 species
ACAAAGUGAAAAAACUUGGUGGGAGAUAUUUCUAAGCAGAUUCUACAGUACUUCCAAUAACUCUCUUAUGACUAGUUGACUUUCAUGUAUUGUUAAAGAUUAUGUUGUUUCUCUAUAUGCACAAGUCAUGUGGAGUAAUCAUAUUGAAAUAUUUGUAGGGAUUGGUAUUUGAGUUUGAUUCAUGAGCAAAGGCUGCAACAAAGGCAAGGAAAAUUCUUGCACAUUUGUGAAUCAAAUUUUAUCUUUCCAUAGAUCCUAGGCAUCUGUUAGUUCCUUUUUUUCUUUUUGAUUCUAAGGGAGUAGGGUACAAUAUUUCUCAAGAACAUCAUAAGAAUUUUUCCCUACUUUGAUCUGGCGUUACGUGUUCUUCGCAAAAGAUGUGUGCUAAAGGGAUUGUUAAUUGGUCCAGGUAUAUUAAGGCUAAGGCCUUCCUUCAUUUGGCGUGAUCUCGUAAUUGCAUGUGUUUGAUAACGAGGCAUAAAGAGAAGUUCGUACUCCGGAAUUAAGCUCCGCCCUUACUCAGGUUGUGUUGAAAGUUUUCCUUCUUUCACUCUAGGGCAAAUUGUCUUCCAAUAAAAGUCUAAUUUAAGAACAAGGAUAAAUAAAUUAGUGUAAAAUUCAAAUGGUACGUUCUUAAAAAGGUUAUUUGUGACAUAAAACUUUACAAAUGAAAAAUAACAAGUACUUAAAAAUUUCUUAUAUGUUGUAUUUGAACCUUAUUAAUAGGACAAAAUCUAUCACUUUUAAUCCUACAUUGAUGUGUCUGGAGUUUUUAGGUCGUAGUUGCAUUCCUUUCUAUAAUCUUUCACCUUUGUACAAUAAUUAUACUUGAACUUUGAACUCUAUUGUUGUCAUUGGGCAUUCUCACUUUCUCCAUAAAUUCAUUAGUUUAUAAUAUGUGAUUCAAAGUCAUAUACAUAAUAAAUUUCCUUAGAAGUUAUAUUGACGGGAAGAGUAUAUGCAAUCAGAGUUUCAUAGAUUGAGAAAGAAUAACUAUACUAUGACGUACCGAGAUAUUCUAUUAACGUAUUUCAUAUGCAUUUAAUGCAUUUAUACAUGCACAUUGACUCAUGACCAGAUGGUGUUACAUAUGCACUGCCACCUGAUCAGCUGGUAUAUGAUGAUGAUGUUUCUAAAAGUGGCUGAAAUAUGACUUAGACGAUAUUAUAUACGUGUAUAUAUGUAUAUAUAUGUAUAUGGGAUACGAGAAAAGGUUAUGGCACUAUAUACGCACCACCACCUGAUCAGCUGGUAUACGAUGAUGAUGUUGCCCACAAUGGCUGAAAUGAUAUAAUUGGAUGUCCUCAGAGGCUCGAUGAUAUGUACGUACAGAUCUAUGCAUUACAUGACAUUUACACGCAUAUGCAUGACUUUAUAAAUAUUUCAUAAUUUAUAGAUCUAUCAAGAUAUACAGAUUGAGUCCUUUACUCCAUGUUUCUUCCAUGUCCUUUGUAUACUUAUUCACAUGCCUUACAUACUUAGUACAUUAUUCGUACUGAUGUCCUUUUGCUGGGGAUGCUGCGAUCAUGCCUGCAGGUAUAGAUAAUCAGUUGACGAGCCCUCACAGCAGACGAGAUUGGCCUUCAUCGAAGGAUGGGUAAGACUCCACCUCAUUCGAAGUGCAACCGAGUUUAACAACCCGGCCGAUCAUCUUAUGAGUUACCGCUCCACUUCCCCCAUUUAUACUUCUUAUUGCCUUGUUCAGCUGUAUUUUAUGUUAUCGGGUUGGUUGGCUCGGUUUAGGAAAGGUUUUGGUAAGGUUUGAGACACUUAGUCUCUUUUGAGGAAGCUUAAGUUGAAAAAGUCAAAUGGAUAUUGACUUAUGUGAAAAAGGGCUCGGAUGUGAAUUCUGAUGGUUCGGAUAGCUUCGGGAGGUGAUUUGGGACUUAGGAGCGAGAUCAAAAUGUGGUUUGGAGGUGUGGAGUAGAUUUGGGCUUGAAUUAGCGAAACUAGAAUUUUGGCAUUUUUCGGUUGGUAGGUGAAAUUUUGAUAUAGGGGUCGGAAUAGAAUUUUGGGAGUUGCAGUAGGUCCGUUGUGUCAUUUGCGAUGUGUGUGCAAAAUUUUAUGUCAUUCGGACGUGGUUUGAUAGACUUUUUGAUCGAAAUCGGAAUUUGGAAGAUUUUGGCAUUCUUAGGCUUGAAUCCGAUGCAAAUUUGGUGUUUGGAUGUUGUUUUUAGCGUUCCGAAGGUUGGAACAAGUUUGAAUGAUGUUAUGGGAUAUGUUGGAUGGUUUGGUUGAGGUCCCGAGGGCCUCAGGUGAGUUUUGGGUGGUUAAACGGAUCAUUUCAUAUUGAAAGAAAUUGCAGAAAAACUGUUGUUGGUGUUGUAGGUUUUUGACCUUCGCGUUCGCCAUAGAUAUUUCGAGAUCGCGAAGGGUUAGGACGUGAGGCAUUGAAAUUUGUCUUUGCAUUCACGAAGGAGGUCCCGCAUUCACGAAGGGCUGAGGCUCAUGGUCAUCGCGUUCGCGAGGGUUUAGCCGCGUUCGUGUAGUGGAAAGGUGAGCAGCUGGGUCCAGGUCGAUUUGUUCUUCACGUUCGCGGAUGGAGAGUCACAUUCACAAUGAGUUGGGAAGCUGCGAUUGCGGUGAAGGGAAAAAUGGUCAACAUGAGUUUGUGCUUCGCAAACGCGAGGCGUUAACCGCGUUCGCGAAGAAGAGAGUUUAAGUGCUGGGUAGAAUGUUUAGAAGACCCAUUUCCGUGAUUUUUGGUCUAAGUUCCUCCAUUUUUGGGAAAUUUUGAAGCUUUUUGAAGGGGAUUGAAGAGGGAAUCAAGGGGGAGAACUUGGAGGUAAGAUUUAUGGACUUAAUACUCAAUCGUAAUGUGAUUUCUACCUAAUUAAUCAUGGAAUUUGUGGAAAUUAAGCCAAAAUAUUGAAAAACUAGGGCUUGUAAUUGGAGACCUAGAAUUUGGGAUUUGAGGGGUCGUUUAUGGUUGGAUUUUGAUGCUUUGAUGUGAAUGAACUCGGGGAGUAAUAAGGAGUCUAUUGAUGUAAUUUAUAUCGGAUUUCGAGACAUGGGCCCGGAGGUCGGGUUUGGCCAAUUUCGAGAUUUGUGUUGUAAUUUGAUUUCUUUCGAGUGGGCUUUGUUCCCUUAGAAUAUUUUGAUGCUUUUGCACUGAUUUUGGUUAGAUUUGGUGCAUUCGGAGGCCUAUUCGGGAGGCAAGGGCAUCGUGGGCUAUAGUUUGGACCAGAUAGAGGUGAGUAUUGAUAGUAAAUGUUGUCAUGAGGGUAUGAAACCCCAAAUUUCACAUCGUUAUGCUAUAUUGAGGUGACUCAUAGGUUAGAUGAUGAGCGUGGAGUUAUGCACUGUUGGGGAUUGUGACUUAGUCCGCCCCGAAUGACUGUUUUACUUUGUAUUUGAUUGAAAACGGUUUGUUAUCAUCAUGUUUUGGGUUGAAUGCCAUAUUUGGGCCUCGUGCCAACUUUUUUGGACCCUUAGGGGAUUUUUACUACUAUUCCUUACUAUUUUGACUUUAUACUUGUACUCAGUCAUGCUAUAUUCCACUAUUUUCACAACUCAGCCAUGUUUAUACUGUUUUGACAUCUUAAAUGAUAUUUUGAGCUGAGCAUCAUAUUUUACCGUGCGCGAGUGGCUUUUAGAGAUUUCUGACUGAGUAGGGCCGAAGGCCUAUGUUGUGAGUUUAUUAUGGGAUCGGGUUGUGCGCCGUAGUGGUAUUGAGCUGAUUCAUGAUUAUGAGGCCGAGGGCCUAAAUUGUACGCCACAAGGUGGCUUGAUAUGAGGCCGAGAGCCUAUUGAUUAUGCCACGAGAUGGCUUGAUAUUGCGUUUGGGCCGUAAGGGGCCUCUUCCGGAGUCUGUACACCCCCAGUGAGCGCAGGUACAUAGUGUGAUAUGUGAUAUAGCCCGAAGGGUUGAUGUUGUUCCAUUCUAUUGCCUGAGGGGCUGAUUCUGUUGAUAUUGUGCCCGAGGGGCUGAUUUUAUGUGUUUAUCUUUUCUCACUGCUUUUCAUUCACUUGUUUAACUGUUAAAAGAUGUUUUAAAGAAGCUUAUACUGAACUAAGGUGUUUGAUGAGAUUUCACUGUUUUGUUGCGUUGCAAAGGUUUUUCACUGUCUCUUUAUAGCAUUUUGCUGUGAUUUUAUGUGUUUUCUUAUCGCUCAACCUUCAUUUAUUUUUAUUACUCAUUGAGUUGGAGUACUCUCAUUAUCCCUGCACCCUGUGUGCACCCUAUGUAUAGCAUUUAUGCUGUGAUUUUAUGUGAUUGCUUCCAGCAUACGGAGAUCACAUGGUAGUUACUCGGCGUUCGCAGCCCAAUGCUUCUCCUUCCUAUCUUUAUCUUCGUUUGUACUAAAUUUUAGUAGACUAUUUAGUCUUUUCCAUACUCUUAGACUUAGUAGACUAUUUAGUCGGGCUGUGUGUGUUUCAGCAAAUUAUACUAUUUCACUAUUUCUUUUGGGAUUUAAUCGUGUUAAUGACUUAAAUUGAAUCAUUAUAUCUGUUUAAAUGAAUUGGGUGUUUUGUCGGCUGGCCUUGUUUCACGAUAGGCGGUAUCAUGACCGAGUCUGGGUUUAGGUUCGUGACAAGUUUGUAUCAUAGCCUAGGUUACAUAGGUCUCACGAGUCAUAAGCAGGUUUAGUAGAGUCUCACGGAUUGGUACAGAGACGUCUGUAUUUAUCCUCGAGAGGCUGCAGAACCUUUAGGAAAAAUUUCACAUUCUUGAAAUUUUUGUCAUGUGAAUUUGUUGAUCCGAGUACUAAACUUCUGUUAUUCUAUUCUCUCACAAAUGGUGAGGAUACGAGCGACUAGUCAGGAUGCACGACUACCAGUACCACCAGUUGUGGCCGCUAGAGGCUGAGGCCGCGGUCGAGGCCGCAGUAGGGGCAGGGGUGUAUCCCACACAACAGCUAGGGCAACACUUGCAGAUCUACCAACCGCCCCAGUUUAGGAUUAGGUCCCAGUUGUGGAUGCUCCAGCAGCACCAACUUAGGCACCAGCUAUGCCCAUUGUGAUUUCGGGUCUUUAGAAGGCCCUGGCUCAGAUUCUAUCAGUAUGCACUGGCCUAGCUCAGGUGGUCUCAAUUACUACAGCUGCAGCUACUUCUCAAGACGGGGGAGGCACUCAGACUCCCCCCGCUCGCUCACCUAAGCAGGUCGUGUAGGGACUUUAGACACCGGGGGCACACCUAGCCCAGCCGGUUGCAGCUGCUCAGGACUAUGUAGCUCAUGCCAUGCCAAAGGACGAGCAGCGCAGGUUGGAGAAGUUUGGUAGACUUCAACCUCCAACUUUCAGUAGUGCAUAGGGCUAGGAUGCCCAAGGUUUCUUGGAUAAGUGUUAGAGGAUUCUUCGUACAGUGGGUAUUCUGGAGAGAAGCGGGGUCACUUUCACUACUUUUCAAUUUUCUAAAGCUGCCUCCACUUGGUGGGAGGCUUAUGAGAGGCGUAGGCCUGUUAGUGCAGCACCCCUUACCUGGCAACAGUUCUCCAUUCUCUUUUUGGAGAAGUAUGUGCCACAGUCUCGCAGAGAGGAGAUGCGUAGGCUGUUUGAGUGGUUGCGUCAGGGAGAUUUGACUGUGACGCAGUAUGAGAUGAGGUUCUCGGAUUUAGCUCGUCAUGUUGUUUGGUUGGUUCUUACAGAGAGAGAGAGAGAGAGGAUAAGGAGGUUCGUUGAUGGCCUCACUUAUCAGCUUCUUAUUCUCAUGACCAGGGAGAGGGUGUCUAGUGCUACUUUUGAGGAGGUUGUAGACAUUGGUCGUGAGAUUGAGUUAGUUCAUUUCCAGGAGCGAGAUGAGGGGGAGGCCAAGAGGCCUCGAGGAUCUGGUAGUUAUAGUGGUGCUUCUUCGAGGGGUCAGUUUCAGCACGACAGAGGUCAUCCAUUCAGCCAUGCUCAGCCAGCUCACCCAAGGUAUCGUGGGGCGUCAUCGGGUCAUGGUUCUCACAGUUCUCAUCAGGGCAAGUCAUCUUCACUUCCCUUCCAGCUCAGAUUUCAUCUCGUGCUCCAUCAGUUUAGGGCUCUUCUAUGCUAAGUGCAUCUGCUAGUCAUUCUGGUGCUAGGGGUUCCCUUCAGUUCCCGUCUCCAGCACCUGUGAGUUGCUAUGAGUGUGGAGAGAUGGGUCAUAUGUAGAGGCAGUGUCCUCAUCGUCUUGGGGUUUCAUCUCAGUAGAGGAGUCACCCAUCGGCUUUAGCACCAAUUACUUCACCACCACCCACCCAGCCGGCUAGGGGUGGAGAUCAGUUAGCUAGGGGUCAUCCUAGAGGGGGAGGUCGAUUAGGUGGCGGUCAGGCCUGUUUCUAUGCACUCCCAGAUAGACCCGAUGUUAUUGCUUCAGACGCCGUGAUCACAGGUAUUGUCUUAGUCUUCCACAGAGAUGCCUCUGUAUUAUUUAAUUCCGGUUCCACAAAUUCUUAUGUGUCAUCAUACUUUGCUCGUUAUUUGGAUAUGCCCUGUGAGUCUCUUGUUUCAUUUGUUCGUGUAUCUACCCUAGUAGGCAUUACUAUUGUUGUAGACCGUCUGUACCGGUCAUGUGUGGUGACUGUUGGGGGUCUGGAGACCCGAAUGGAUCUUUUGUUGUUAUGUAUGGUAGACUUCGAUGUUAUAUUGGGCAUGGAUUGGCUAUCCCCCUAUCACGCUAUUUUGGACUGUCAUGCUAAAACAGUGACAUUGGCUAUUCCGGGUGUACCACGGAUUAAGUAGCGAGGUUCGACUAAUUAUGUUCCCAGUAGGGUAAUUUCAUUCUUGAAGGCCCAACAUAUGGUUGAGAAGGGUUGUCUUUCAUAUAUAGCCUUUGUGAGGGAUGUCAAUGUAGAGACUCCUAGUAUUGAUUUUGUUCCUGUUGUGAGGGAGUUUCUCAAUGUGUUUCCUGCAGACCUGUCGGGCAUGCCACCAGAUAGGGAUAUUGAUUUUGGUAUUGAUUUGAUGCUGGGAACUCAACCAAUUUCUAUUCCAACGUAUUGUAUGGCACUAGCGGAGUUGAAAGAGAUUAAGGAGUAGCUUCAGGAGCUCCUUGAUAAGGGGUUUAUUCGGCCUAGUAUGUCGCCUUGGGGUGCGCCGGUUCUUUUUGUGAAGAAGAAGGAUGACACGAUGAGGAUGUGCAUUGAUUACCGGCAGUUGAACAAGGUAACAAUCAAGAACAAGUAUCCUUUGUCUCGUAUCGAUGAUUUGUUGAUCAGCUUCAAGGAGCNNNNNNNNNNNNNNNNNNNNNNNNNNNNNNNNNNNNNNNNNNNNNNNNNNNNNNNNNNNNNNNNNNNNNNNNNNNNNNNNNNNNNNNNNNNNNNNNNNNNNNNNNNNNNNNNNNNNNNNNNNNNNNNNNNNNNNNNNNNNNNNNNNNNNNNNNNNNNNNNNNNNNNNNNNNNNNNNNNNNNNNNNNNNNNNNNNNNNNNNNNNNNNNNNNNNNNNNNNNNNNNNNNNNNNNNNNNNNNNNNNNNNNNNNNNNNNNNNNNNNNNNNNNNNNNNNNNNNNNNNNNNNNNNNNNNNNNNNNNNNNNNNNNNNNNNNNNNNNNNNNNNNNNNNNNNNNNNNNNNNNNNNNNNNNNNNNACUCGAAUAUUCUUAAGACGGUUUUCAGGACCUGAUAUGGUCAUUAUGAGUUCUUAGUGAUUGUUUUUUGGGCUGACCAAUACCCCAGCAACGUUCAUGCAUUUUAUGCAAUGUUCUCCAAGUCUGAGUUUUGGCUCAGCUCAGUGGCUUUCUUGGGGCACGUGGUGUCCAGCGAGAGUAUUCAGGUCGAUCCGAAGAAGAUAUAAGCGGUUCAGAGUUGGCCCGAAUCGUCCUCAGCCAUAGAGAUUCGCAACUUUCUUGGUUUUGGCGGGUUAUUACCGUCGGUUUGUUCAGGGAUUCUCAUCUAUCACAUCGCCCUUGACCAAGUUGACUCAAAAGGGUGCUCCUUUCAUAUGGUCGGAUGAGUGUGAGGAGAGCUUUCAGAAGCUCAAGACUACCUUGACCACAGCUCCAGUUUAGUUUUGCCAUCAACUUCAGGUUCAUAUACCGUGUAUUGUGAUACUUCGAGAGUUGGUAUUGGGUGUGUAUUGAUGCAGGAGGGGAGAGUUAUUGCUUAUUCUUCUCGUCAGUUGAAGCCCCAUGAGAAGAACUACCCAGUUCAUGAUUUGGAGUUGGCUGCCAUUGUUCACGUGCUGAAGAUUUGGAGGCAUUAUUUGUAUGGUGUGUCUUGUGAUGUGUUUAUUGAUCAUUGUAGCCUCCAGCACUUGUUCAAGUAGAAGGAUCUCAAUCUAAGGCAGUGGAGAUGGUUGGAGUUGCUAAAGGAUUAUAACAUUACCAUUUUGUACCAUCCGGGGAAGGCCAAUGUGGUGGUCAAUGCCUUGAGUAGGAAGGCGGUGAGUAUGGGGAGUUUGGCAUGUAUUCUAGUUAGGGAGAGACCCCUUGCGAUUGAUGUUUAGGCCUUGGCCAAUUGGUUUGAGAUGUUGGAUAUUUCAGAGCCCAGUCAGGUAUUGGCUUGUGUGAUUUUUCGGUCUUCCUUAUAUGAUCGCAUCAGAGAGCGCCAAUAUGAUGAUCCUCAUUUGCUUGUCCUUAAGUACAAAGUUCAGCACGAUAAUGCUAGAGAUGUGACUAUUGGUGAUGAUGGGGUGUUGAGGAUGCAGGGCCAGAUAUGUGUGCCUAAUGUGGAUGGGCUUCAAGAGUUGAUUCUAGAGGAGACCCAUAGCUCGCGGUAUUCCAUUCAUUCGGGUGCCGCGAAGAUGUAUCAGGAUCUGAGGCAGCAUUAUUGGUGGAGGAGAAUGAAGAAGGAUAUUGUAGGAUUUGUAGCUCGGUGUCUCAAUUGUUAGUAGGUGAAAUAUGAGCAUCAAAGACCGGGUGGCUUGCUUCAGUAGAUGGAUAUUCCAAAGUGAAAGUGGAAGCGGAUCACCAUGGAAUUUGUAGUUGGGCUCCCACAGACUUUAAUGAAGUUCGAGGCUAUUUGGGUGAUUGUGGAUCGGCUGACCAAGUCUGCGCACUUCAUUCCUAUGUGUACUACCUAUUCUUUAGAGCGGUUGGUAAAGAUCUAUAUCCAGGAGAUUGUUCAUUUGCGUGGUGUCCCAGUUUACAUUAUUUCAGAUAGGGGCACUCAAUUUACUUCGUAGUUUUAGAGGUCUGUGCAGCGAGAAUUGGGUACUCAUAUUGAGUUGAGCACAACUUUUCACCCUCAGACGGAUGGGCAGUCCUAGUGCACUAUUCAGAUAUUGGAGGACAUGUUGCAUGCUUAUGUCAUUGAUUUUGGAGGGUCAUGGGAUCAGUUUCUACCGCUCGUAGAUUUUGCUUAUAAAAACAGCUACCAGUCGAGUAUUCAGAUAGCUCCAUAUGAGGCUUUGUAUGGGAGACGGUGUAGAUCUCCAGUUGGUUGGUUUUAGCCGGGUGAGGUUAGACUAUUGGGUACAAACUUGGUAGAGGAUGAUUUAGACAAGGUGAAGGUGAUUCAGGAGAGACUUCGUACAGCGCAGUCGAGACAAAAGAGUUAUGUUGACAGGAAAGUUUGGUAUGUGUCCUACAUGGUUGGUAAGAAGGUUCUGUUGAAGGUUUCACCCAUGAAGGGUGUUAUGAGAUUUGGAAAGAAGGGUAAAUUGAGUCCUCGGUUCAUUGGGUCGUUUGAGGUGCUUCGGAGGAUUGGGGAGGUGGCUUAUGAGCUUGCUUUGCCACCCAGCUUGUCGAGUGUGCAUCUGGUAUUUCAUAUUUCUAUGAUCCGAAAGUAUAUUGGGGAUCCGUCUCAUGUUUUGUAUUUUAGAACAGUUCAGUUAGAUGGUUAUUUGACCUAUGAUGUGGAGCCAGCAGCUAUUUUGGAGCGUCAGGUUCGAAAGUUGAGAUCAAAGGAUAUAGCUUCAGUGAAAGUGCAGUGGAGAGGUCGGCCCAUGGAGGAGGCUACCUAGGAGACUGAGUGGAAGAUGCGGAGUAGAUAUCCUCACCUAUUUGAGGCUUCAAGUAUGUUUCUUGACUCGUUCGAGGAUGAAAGUUUGUUCAAGAGGGGGAGGAUGUAACGACCCGGAUGAUCGUUUCAUGAGUUACCGCUCUAUUUCCCUCAUUUUUGCUUCUUAUUGCCUUGUUCAGCUGUAUUUUAUGUUAUCGGGUUGGUUGGCUCAGGUUCGGAAAGGUUUUGGUAAGGUUUGAGACACUUAGUCUCUUUUGAGGAAGCUUAAGUUGGAAAAGUCAACUGGAUGUUGACUUAUAUGAAAAAGGGCUCGGAUGUGAAUUCCGAUGGUUUGGAUAGCUUUGGGAGGUGAUUUGGGACUUAGGAGCGUGAUCAGAAUUUGUUUUGAUGGUGCGGAGUAGAUUUAGGAUUGAAUUGGCGAAAUUGGAAUUUUGGCGUUUUCCGGUUGGUAUGUGAGAUUUUUAUAUAGGGGUCGGAAUGGAAUUCCGGAUGUUGUAGUAGGUUUGUUGUUUCAUUUUGGAUGUGUGUGCAAAAUUUCCGGUCAUUCGGAUGUGGUUUGAUAGACUUUAUGAUCGAAAGCGGAAUUUGGAAGAGUUUGGAAUUCUUAGGCUUGAAUCCGAUGCAAAUUUGGUGUUUGGAUGUUGUUUUGAGAGUUCCGAAGGUUGGAACAAGUUUGAAUUAUGUUAUGGGAUAUGUUGGAUGGUUUGGUUGAGGUCCCGAGGGCCUAGGGUGAGUUCCGGGUGGUUAAACAGAUCAUUUCAUGUUGAAGGAAAUUGCAGAAAAACUGUUGUUGGUGUUGCAGGUUUUUGACCUUCGUGUUCAUGAUGGAUGUCCCGUGAUCACAAAGGGUUAGGAUGUGAGGCAGUGGAAUUGGCCUUCGCAUUCGCGAAGGUGUCCUGCAUUUGCGAAGGGCUGAGGCUCGUGGUCAUCGCGUUCGCGAGGGUUUAGCCGCGUUCGCGUAAACGAAAGGUGAGCAGCUGGGUCCAAGUCAAUUUGUUCUUCGCGUUUGCGAUGAGUUGGGAAGCCAAGACUUCGCGUUCGUAUACGAGAAGUUGCGAUCGCGAUGAAGGGAAAAAUGGUCAACAUGAGUUUGUGCUUCGCGAACGCAAGGCAUUGACCGCGUUCCCGAAGAAGAGAUUUUAAGUGUUGCGCAGAAUGUUUAAAAGACCCAUUUCCGCGAUUUUGGGUCAAAGUUCCUCCAUUUUUGGGCAAUUUUGAAGCUUUUUGAAGGUGAUUGAAGAGGGAAUCAAGGGGGAAUACUUGGAGGUAAGAUUUAUGGACUUAAUACUCAAUCCUAAUGUGAUUUCUACCCAAUUAAUCAUGGAAUUUGUGGAAAUUAAGCUUAAAUAUUGAAGAACUAGGGCUUGUAAUGGGAUACCUAGAAUUUGGGAUUUGAGGGGUCGUUUGUGGUUGGAUUUUGAUGCUUUUAAUAUGAAUGAACUCGGGGAGUGAUAAGGAGUCUAUUGAUGUAAUCUUUAUCGGAUUCCGAGAUGUGGGUCCGGGGGUUGGGUUUGGCCAAUUUCGGGAUUUGUGUUGUAAUUUGAUUUAUUUGAGUGGGCUUUGUUCCCUUAACAUAUUUUGAUGGUAUUGCACUAAUUUUGGUUAGAUUUGGAGUAUUCGGAGGCCGAUUCGAGAGGUAAGGGCAUCGCAGGCUAGAGUUUGGACCGGAUAGAGGUGAGUAAUGAUUGUAAAUGUUGUCAUGAGGGUAUGAAACCCUAGAUUUUACAUCAUUGUGCUAUAUUGAGGUGACACACACGUUAGAUGAUGAGAGUUGUCCACUGUUAGGAAUUGUGAAUUAGUCCGCCCCGAAUGACUAUUUUACUGCGUAUUUGAUUGAAAACGGUUUGCUAUCAUCAUGUUUUGGGCCGAAUGCCAUAUUUGGGCCUCGUGCCAAUUGUUUUGGGCUCUUAGGGGAUUUUUACUACUAUUCCUCACUGUUUUUGACUUUAUACAUGUACUCAGUCAUGUUAUAUUCCACUGUUUUCACAACUUAGACAUGUUUAUACUAUUUUGACAUUUUAAAUUAUAUUUGGAGCUAAGUAUCAUAUUUUACUAUGCCCGAAUGCCUUUUAGAGAUUUCUGACUUAGUAGGGCCGAGGGCCUGUAUUGUGAGGUUAUUAUGGGAUUGGGCUGCGCACUGCAGCGGUAUUGAGCUGAUUCAUGAUUAUGAGGCUGAGGGCCAGAGUUGUACACCAUAAGGUGGCUUGAUAUGAGGCCGAGAGCCUAUUGAUUAUGCCACGAGAUGGCUUGAUAUUGUGCUUGGGCCAUAAAUAGCCCCUCCCGGAGUCUGUACACCCCUAGUGAGCGCGGGUACCCUGUGUGAUAUGUGAUAUAGUCGAGGGGCUGAUGUUGUUCCAAGUUAUUGCCCGAUGGGCUGAUUCUGUUGAUAUUGUGCACGAUGAGCUGAUUUUAUGUUUUUAUCUUUUCUCACUGCUUUUUAUUCACUUGUUUAACUAUUAAAAGAUGUUUUAAAGAAGCUUAUACUGAAAUAAGGUGUUUCAUGAGAUUUCACUAUUUUGUUGCGUUGCAAAGGUUUUUCACUGUCUCUUUAUAGCAUUUUGCUGUGAUUUUACGUGUUUUCUUAUCGCUCAUCCUUCAUUUAUUUUUAUUACUCAUUGAGUUGGAGUACUCACAUUACUCCCUGCACCCUAUGUGUAGAUUCAGGAGCUUCGGGCCCGGCUAGCGAGGAUUGAUUACUUCCAGCAAACCAUGUGGAGAUCACUAGGCUGCUGCUCGGCGUUUGGAGCCCAGUGCUUCUCAUUCCUAUCUUUAUCUUCUUUUGUACUGAGUUGUAGUAGACUAUUUAGUCUUUUCCAUACUUUUAGACUUAUGUUAGAUGCUCAUGACUGGUGACACCCCGAUGUCGGGC